GGGGAUAUAGCUCAUCUGGUAGAGCGACAGGUUCGCAAUCUGUAGGUGGUCGGUUCGAGUCCGAUUAUCUCCACUA
rnacentral:tRNA from 1 species